GACGAACGCUGGCGGCGUGCUUAACACAUGCAAGUCGAACGGAAAGGCCCUGCUUUUGUGUGGUGCUCGAGUGGCGAACGGGUGGGUAACACGUGAGUAACCUGCCCUUGACUUUGGGAUAACUUCAGGAAACUGGGGCUAAUACCGGAUAGGAGCUCCUGCUGCAUGGUGGGGGUUGGAAAGUUUCGGCGGUUGGGGAUGGACUCGCGGCUUAUCAGCUUGUUGGUGGGGUAGUGGCUUACCAAGGCUUUGACGGGUAGCCGGCCUGAGAGGGUGACCGGCCACAUUGGGACUGAGAUACGGCCCAGACUCCUACGGGAGGCAGCAGUGGGGAAUAUUGCACAAUGGGCGGAAGCCUGAUGCAGCAACGCCGCGUGCGGGAUGACGGCCUUCGGGUUGUAAACCGCUUUCGCCUGUGACGAAGCGUGAGUGACGGUAAUGGGUAAAGAAGCACCGGCUAACUACGUG
rnacentral:rRNA from 1 species